CACUAUAUAUCUAAAUAUAAGUUUUGGUCUUUUAAACCAUAGAUAGUAAAUUUUACUUUUAGUGAAA
rnacentral:tRNA from 1 species